CCUACGGGUGGCAGCAGUGAGGAAUAUUGGUCAAUGGCCGUGAGGCUGAACCAGCCAAGUCGCGUGAAGGAUGACGGAUCUAUGGAUUGUAAACUUCUUUUAUAGGGGAAUAAAGGUAUGCACGUGUGGCUAUUUGUAUGUACCCUAUGAAUAAGCAUCGGCUAACUCCGUGCCAGCAGCCGCGGUAAUACGGAGGAUGCGAGCGUUAUCCGGAUUUAUUGGGUUUAAAGGGUGCGUAGGUUGGUUUUUAAGUCAGCGGGGAAAGUUUGUGGCUCAACCAGAAAAUUGCCGUUGAAACUGGAAGCCUUGAGUGUGUUUGAGGUAGGCGGAAUGCGUGGUGUAGCGGUGAAAUGCAUAGAUAUCACGCAGAACUCCGAUUGCGAAGGCAGCAUAC
rnacentral:rRNA from 1 species